rnacentral:rRNA from 1 species
CGCUGGCGGCGUGCCUAAUACAUGCAAGUCGAACGGCUUUUCUAUGGAAGCUUGCUUCCACUGAGAAGAUAGUGGCGAACGGGUGAGUAACACGUGGGUAACCUGCCCAUAAGAGGGGGAUAACAUCCGGAAACGGGUGCUAAUACCGCAUAGUUUUCUUGAUCGCAUGAUUGAGAAAGGAAAGACGGCCUUUGUGCUGUCGCUUAUGGAUGGACCCGCGGCGUAUUAGUUAGUUGGUGAGGUAACGGCUCACCAAGACGAUGAUACGUAGCCGACCUGAGAGGGUGAUCGGCCACAUUGGGACUGAGACACGGCCCAAACUCCUACGGGAGGCAGCAGUAGGGAAUCUUCCGCAAUGGACGAAGUCUGACGGAGCAACGCCGCGUGAGUGAAGAAGGUUUUUCCGGAUCGUAAAACUCUGUUGUCAGAGAAGAACAAGUUGGAGAGUAACUGCUCCAGCCUUGACGGUAUCUGACCAGAAAGCCACGGCUAACUACGUGCCAGCAGCUGC